rnacentral:rRNA from 1 species
AAUGAACGCUGGCGGCAGGCCUAAUACAUGCAAGUCGAACGAGUCGCGGACGGGUGUGUAACGUCUGGGACAUUGCUUGAUGGAGGGGGUUAACUACUGGAACCGGUAGCUAAUACCGCUUACCAUCAGAUGUGCCCAGAUGGGAUUAGCUAGUGGGUGGGGUAACGGCUCACCAAGGCGACGAUCCCUAGCUGGUCUCAGAGGUGGACCGGCCACACUGGAACUGGGACACGGUCCAGACUCCUACGGGGGGCAGCAGUGGGGAAUAUUGCACAAUGGGCGAAAGCCUGAUGCAGCAAUGCCGCGUGUGUGAAGAAGGCCUUCGGGUUGUAAAGUACUUUCAGCGGGGAGGCGUUACCCGCAGAGGAAGCACCGGCUAACUCCGUGCCAGCAGCCGCGGUAAUUC